rnacentral:rRNA from 1 species
AAAUUGAAGAGUUUGAUCAUGGCUCAGAUUGAACGCUGGCGGCAGGCCUAACACAUGCAAGUCGAACGGUAGCACAGAGAGCUUGCUCUCGGGUGACGAGUGGCGGACGGGUGAGUAAUGUCUGGGAAACUGCCUGAUGGAGGGGGAUAACUACUGGAAACGGUGGCUAAUACCGCAUAACGUCGCAAGACCAAAGAGGGGGACCUUCGGGCCUCUUGCCAUCAGAUGUGCCCAGAUGGGAUUAGCUUGUUGGUGAGGUAACGGCUCACCAAGGCGACGAUCCCUAGCUGGUCUGAGAGGAUGACCAGCCACACUGGAACUGAGACACGGUCCAGACUCCUACGGGAGGCAGCAGUGGGGAAUAUUGCACAAUGGGCGCAAGCCUGAUGCAGCCAUGCCGCGUGUAUGAAGAAGGCCUUCGGGUUGUAAAGUACUUUCAGCGGGGAGGAAGGUGUUGUGGUUAAUAACCACAGCAAUUGACGUUACCCGCAGAAGAAGCACCGGCUAACUCCGUGCCAGCAGCCGCGGUAAUACGGAGGGUGCAAGCGUUAAUCGGAAUUACUGGGCGUAAAGCGCACGCAGGCGGUCUGUCAAGUCGGAUGUGAAAUCCCCGGGCUCAACCUGGGAACUGCAUUCGAAACUGGCAGGCUUGAGUCUUGUAGAGGGGGGUAGAAUUCCAGGUGUAGCGGUGAAAUGCGUAGAGAUCUGGAGGAAUACCGGUGGCGAAGGCGGCCCCCUGGACAAAGACUGACGCUCAGGUGCGAAAGCGUGGGGAGCAAACAGGAUUAGAUACCCUGGUAGUCCACGCCGUAAACGAUGUCUACUUGGAGGUUGUGCCCUUGAGGCGUGGCUUCCGGAGCUAACGCGUUAAGUAGACCGCCUGGGGAGUACGGCCGCAAGGUUAAAACUCAAAUGAAUUGACGGGGGCCCGCACAAGCGGUGGAGCAUGUGGUUUAAUUCGAUGCAACGCGAAGAACCUUACCUGGUCUUGACAUCCACAGAACUUUCCAGAGAUGGAUUGGUGCCUUCGGGAACUGUGAGACAGGUGCUGCAUGGCUGUCGUCAGCUCGUGUUGUGAAAUGUUGGGUUAAGUCCCGCAACGAGCGCAACCCUUAUCCUUUGUUGCCAGCGAUUAGGUCGGGAACUCAAAGGAGACUGCCAGUGAUAAACUGGAGGAAGGUGGGGAUGACGUCAAGUCAUCAUGGCCCUUACGACCAGGGCUACACACGUGCUACAAUGGCGCAUACAAAGAGAAGCGACCUCGCGAGAGCAAGCGGACCUCAUAAAGUGCGUCGUAGUCCGGAUUGGAGUCUGCAACUCGACUCCAUGAAGUCGGAAUCGCUAGUAAUCGUGGAUCAGAAUGCCACGGUGAAUACGUUCCCGGGCCUUGUACACACCGCCCGUCACACCAUGGGAGUGGGUUGCAAAAGAAGUAGGUAGCUUAACCUUCGGGAGGGCGCUUACCACUUUGUGAUUCAUGACUGGGGUGAAGUCGUAACAAGGUAACCGUAGGGGAACCUGCGGUUGGAUCACCUCCUUA